UACAUAGGGGGCAAGCGUUGUCCGGAUUUACUGGGCGUAAAGAGCUCGUAGGCGGUUUACCAAGUCAGAAGUGAAAUCUCCAUGCUCAACAUGGAGCGGCCUUUUGAAACUGGUAUGACUAGAGUACGGUAGAGGAGUGUGGAAUUCCCAGUGUAGCGGUGAAAUGCGCAGAUAUUGGGAGGAACACCUAUGGCGAAGGCAGCACUCUGGGCCGAAACUGACGCUGAGGAGCGAAAGCGUGGGGAGCGAACAGG
rnacentral:rRNA from 1 species